GUAGUUAGAGAGCUCUCUUACCCACCCACCCCCAGCCCCGCAGAGGUCCAGUUCACUGCCUGAUUGAGAGCAAGGAUUUAAGACCAUAUAUCUUGGAUUUCAAUACAGUGAACUAGCUCGACGCUCCUCCUCCUGUCUAGGUUUUGUGUAAGGAAAGGAUGAUCUGCAUACAUCUAAUUCCACAACAGACUUCAGAGCUACAAAUGCCCUGUGGCGAGACACACCUAACUUUAAGCCUGGGUUUAGAUACCCAUUUCAAGCCUGGGUUUAGAUAUCCAUUUCUUUGACAGACAUGGAAAUAGUAUCAAAUACGGACCGUGAUCUAAAGGCCCUGCAUCUGCCCAGGAUUCAGGCGCCAAGAUACCUACCUCGAACUGGGUGAUGGCCAGAGGAAACGAGCCAACCACCUCCAGUGCUGUAUCAUUGUGCCUGAAUCCCCAGCACGAGUCCAGCUUACUCGGCUGUGUUAACUGUAGGUGAAAGCAAGAAGAUCUGAGAAAAUACAGCUCUGCAGUCAACCACCCAUGUUCCUCUUUCCUCUUGCCUAAUACAACAUGAACAGACCCAGGAAUGUAUUUCUACUCUUUCUGUUUUACUUCCUGGAUGAGGAGGACUGCCACACUGCAUCAGCAACGCCUGUACCAAGCUUCUAACUCAUACUUGCUGUAAAGUGCCUGGGGAAUGUGACUGCAUCUGGAAAGGAGGCACAGCAAUCUCUGUCUUCAGAGACACAGAAGACAGCACAAGGCCUUAGAGAAUUAAGAAAUAACUCAGAAAUACAAAACCCAUCCAGAGCAACCUCUACUUGGAAACAUAAUCCUCUGGCUUUCACUGUGAACAUGUUAAGAAAAAAGUCAACUUGCAAACAGUUAUUUGAAUCCUACUAAAAUAAACCUGCAUUUGUAAAAUCACCUCCGAUAAGGUCACCAGCCAAGGUGAAUCCACAGCAAUCUCUCAGGAGCUGUGACAGAACAAUAGACCCACCGCACAGAGCAGUGGGCAGGUACAUGGGCUCUGCUGCUCUAUCUCAGCAGAUAAGCAAUCCUUGGGACUUCAAAUCAAUCACAGGGAACAGCUAGCAGAAGAGGGAUGUCGGAUAGAUCUCCUCUCAUGCUUUUCUUAGCAGACCACCACAGGGAAAUACUCAGAUGCUGAAGGAUGUCUGUUUACUUAGAAGCAACUGAUCUAAAAAGAAGUGACAUACUAUAAUCUAGUCACGCAAACUGUCUCUAAGCAAUUAGACUGUCUUAUUGGUUUAAUGUUAUUUUAGGUUUAUUUUUGCUUUUGAGAAUUAGACUUGCUCCUUGAAAAACAUAGUAUGUGUUAUGCCACAUCAUACAUCCGCUUAUGAUGAUACCAAAGGAUAUUGUAGUCAUGCCACCAUUUUUGUAAGCUAUAUAACCUCAAACUGAACUGAGUCAGUCUUUUGCCUUUUUGAACUACAGAGGAAAAGAAAAUGUAAUAGGCUUUGUUCAGAACAUUUUCUGGAUACUAAUCCUUAACUUUUAUCUCCCGUCAGAAACACUGUAGAGGAUACUGGUGAAAAGUAAUUUGUGUGGCCCCAUUUAAA